UCUCUAGUGGCUCAGAUGGUAAAGAAUCUGUCUGUAAUGCAGGAGACCCGGGUUCAAUCCCUGGAUUGGGAA
rnacentral:tRNA from 1 species